rnacentral:rRNA from 1 species
GACGAACGCUGGCGGCGUGCUUAACACAUGCAAGUCGAACGGAAAGGCCCCUUUGGGGGUUCUCGAGUGGCGAACGGGUGCGUAACACGUGAGUAACCUGCCCUUGACUUCGGGAUAACUUCAGGAAACUGGGGCUAAUACCGGAUAGGAAUCCUUGCUGCAUGGUGGGGGUUGGAAAGCUUCGGCGGUUUUGGAUGGACUUGCGGCUUAUCAGCUUGUUGGUGGGGUAGUGGCUUACCAAGGCUUUGACGGGUAGCCGGCCUGAGGGGGCGACCGGCCACAUUGGGACUGAGGUACGGCCCAGGCUCCUACGGGAGGCAGCAGUGGGGAAGAUUGCACAAUGGGCGGAGGCCGGAUGCAGCAACGCCGCGGGCGGGAUGACGGCCUUCGGGUUGUAAACCGCUUUCAGCAGGGGCGAAGCUUGUGGUGACGGUACCUGCAGAAGAAGCACCGGCUAACUACGUG